UACGAGGGGGGCAAAUGUUGUUCGGAAUUACUGGGCGUAAAGGGCGCGUAGGCGGCCUACUAAGUCGGACGUGAAAUCCCUCGGCUCAACCGGGGAACUGCGUCCGAUACUGGUGGGCUCGAAUCCGGGAGAGGGAUGUGGAAUUCCAGGUGUAGCGGUGAAAUGCGUAGAUAUUGGGAGGAACACCAGUGGCGAAGGCGGUCCCCUGGGCCGGAACUGACGCUGAGGCGCGAAAGCGUGGGUAGCAAACGGG
rnacentral:rRNA from 1 species